GCUGGGCACGGUGGCACGAGCCUGUAGUCCCAGCUACUCGGGAGGCUGAGGCAGGAGGAUCGCUUGAGCCCAGGAGUUCUGGGCUGUAGUGCGCUAUGCCGAUGGGGUGUCCACACUAAGUUUGGUCCACACUAAGUUUGGCAUCAAUAUGGUGACCUCCCGGGAGCAGGGGGGACCAACAGGUUGCCUAAGGAGGGGUGAACCCGCCUAGGUCGGAAACUGAGCAGGUCAAAGACAUCCAAAUGACAUUCUGUUCAGUCUUUCUCUAAUGUCUCUCCAGGUUCCU
rnacentral:SRP_RNA from 1 species